CCUGUCCCUAGAAACCUUGCACAUGUGGCUGCCAUGUCACAUGUGUGUCAGUAGGUGGCAGAGAGAAGAGAGGCUGUGCCUACUAUCAGUGUUCUGACCUGUGAACUUCUGAAAACUUAGUAACCUAACAUC